rnacentral:rRNA from 1 species
UACGUAGGGUCCGAGCGUUGUCCGGAAUUAUUGGGCGUAAAGAGCUCGUAGGCGGUUUGUCGCGUCUGCUGUGAAAUCCCGAGGCUCAACCUCGGGUCUGCAGUGGGUACGGGCAGACUGGAGUGCGGUAGGGGAGAAUGGAAUUCCUGGUGUAGCGGUGGAAUGCGCAGAUAUCUGGAGGAACACCGGUGGCGAAGGCGGCAUCCUGGACCGACACUGACGCUGAGGAGCGAAAGCCAGGGAGCAAAGCGGG